AUAGGAGAGGUCCAAUGAAAAGAGUCGCUUAAGGCUUCCAAGCGAGGAUGGAAUUAUGUUGUCUGGGAAUUUCCCUUGCAAAUCACAAGACGAUAGCGCAAGUGAUGAUAAAGAAGAAGAGAGAUUCAUCAAAGAAUUAGGUUUAACUAUAGACAUGUUUACACCACUCAAGUCCAAUUCCUGUAACACGGUUAGGUUUUGAACAAGCUUCUUAAAACAAGUGGUUUCUAGUAUCAAAUCAUAGUUUGCAGAAAAAUCAAGUGAAACCAAUUCAAAUAGAUGACUGAUAUCUGGGAAUU
rnacentral:misc_RNA from 1 species